CUCGUAGGCGGUUCGUCGCGUCCGGUGUGAAAGUCCAUCGCUUAACGGUGGAUCUGCGCUGGGUACGGGCGGGCUGGAGUGCGGUAGGGGAGACUGGAAUUCCCGGUGUAACGGUGGAAUGUGUAGAUAUCGGGAAGAACACCAAUGGCGAAGGCAGGUCUCUGGGCCGUCACUGACGCUGAGGAGCGAAAGCGUGGGGAGCGAACA
rnacentral:rRNA from 1 species